rnacentral:tRNA from 1 species
GCUGCGGUGCCGGAGUGGACAAUCGGACCAGUCUGUAAAACUGGCGCUCGACAGGGCUACGAAGGUUCGAAUCCUUCCCGCAGCACCA